GAUGCUUUGGAGGGAGCUGGCCAGGCAGAAGACUACACCAGGCUUCACUGUCAGUUUUGGCAGGGUUUUUACAGCUGGAUGCCCUUCCUAUCACCAACCAUCUUACAGAGUGGACUAAGUGCUUCCUACGUGGCACCAACUGGAACACAUAUCUCUGGAUUUAAUGAACUUAGAACAAGACUUCAGGGAAAUUUGACUGCAGUUUCUGAAAGAUCAUAGAUCCUGCCUUGGGAAGACCCUGCAAGUGAGAGGAGGUAAUAAAAGAGACUAUCUGGAGCAGAAUUAAUUAAAUAAUUAAUUGAUUAAUUUUAAAACUGUUUAUUUUUAUAGUUGGUUUCCCUGAUUUAUUUAUUGGAACCAAUGUUUGUCUUUUACAGCUGAAUAAAUCUCCUUCCAACCA
rnacentral:lncRNA from 1 species